rnacentral:misc_RNA from 1 species
GAGAAGUUGCGAUUGUACAUCUACCUUGAUUAAAAGAGUAAUUCUAGUAUAUUUGAUGACAGGAAGUUAACUGUACCUGGCGGAAGAUGUUUUGUUAUGGGUUUGGCCAUUCAGUCGCUGGCUGAGCUGUUGAUUGUACGUUGUCGCAUUAAGUACAAGUCAUUCACUUCCAUGACGGAAACGGUGAAGAAAAACCUGCAGAGACUUACUAUUAUGAUCAAGUGUAUUUCUAGUUUGACGAGUUUUAUUCCUUCAAAGUAAUGAUCAGCAACUUUUUUGAAAUUGCAAGCUACUUGAUUAAAUAGGAGUUACAUGU